UUCUUUGGUUAUCAAGCAGUAUGAUUGCCAAACUGCUGGCCGGUCUUCGUGAUCUGCGCUAUUAUCAUAAAGCUAGAUGACCAAAGUC
rnacentral:pre_miRNA from 1 species